rnacentral:rRNA from 1 species
AUCGUAUAUUUGAUAGUACCUACUACAUGGAUAACCGUGGUAAUUCUAGAGCUAAUACAUGCUUAAAAUCCCGACUUCGGAAGGGAUGUAUUUAUUAGAUUAAAAACCAAUGCCCUUCGGGGCUCACUGGUGAUUCAUAAUAACUUCUCGAAUCGCAUGGCCUUGUGCCGGCGAUGGUUCAUUCAAAUUUCUGCCCUAUCAACUUUCGACGGCUGGGUCUUGGCCAGCCGUGGUUACAACGGGUAACGGAGGGUUAGGGCUUGACCCCGGAGAAGGAGCCUGAGAAACGGCUACUACAUCCAAGGAAGGCAGCAGGCGCGCAAAUUACCCAAUCCCGAUACGGGGAGGUAGUGACAAUAAAUACUGAUACAGGGCUCUUUUGGGUCUUGUAAUUGGAAUGAGUACAAUUUAAAUCCCUUAACGAGGAACAAUUGGAGGGCAAGUCUGGUGAGGAAAAGUACAAUGCUGCUUGCGCCAGAAAGAGUAUUAGGUAGAGAUAUCUAUCUACUGCUAGUCGAGCACCCGAUACAGCUGCGGGUGGGUGCCGGCGACACAACCUGGAUCGGGGAAGGCUAAGGGCUCAGCCUAUGCUAAUCCCGCGCGGAGUCUCAGUAGAGUGAUCUUCUGAAGACCCGUGUAGAGCGCGCCAAGGUGUGGGCUGCCCUGUGCUUGCACAGGCGGCUUAAGGGACGUGCCGACCACCGGGAAACCGGAUUCCUCCAUGGAGCACCCGCAAGUGCAAAGUAGGAGGACACCUUCCAGGGUACCUGGUACCUGUCGGGAGGUGGGGAGAACGCAGAUACUUGGUUUUCACUUCUGGGGGUAAUUCAGAAUCAAUUGAAUUCCAAAGUGAUCUCUUUUCGGCCAGCAGCCGCGGUAAUUCCAGCUCCAAUAGCGUAUAUUAAAGUUGUUGCAGUUAAAAAGCUCGUAGUUGAACCUUGGGCCUGGCUGGCCGGUCUGCCUCACCGCAUGCACUGGUCCGGCCGGGCCUUUCCCUCUGGGGAGCCGCAUGCCCUUCACUGGGUGUGUCGGGGAACCAGGACUUUUACUGUGAAAAAAUUAGAGUGUUCAAAGCAGGCCUAUGCUCGAAUACAUUAGCAUGGAAUAAUAGAAUAGGACGUUGCGGUUCUAUUUUGUUGGUUUCUAGGACCGCCGUAAUGAUUAAUAGGGACAGUCGGGGGCAUCAGUAUUCAAUCGUCAGAGGUGAAAUUCUUGGAUCGAUUGAAGACUAACUACUGCGAAAGCAUUUGCCAAGGAUGUUUUCAUUAAUCAGGAACGAAAGUUAGGGGAUCGAAAACGAUCAGAUACCGUUGUAGUCUUAACCAUAAACUAUGCCGACUAGGGAUCGGGCGAUGUUUUUCUUUGACUCG